rnacentral:tRNA from 1 species
AGCAGAAAGGUGCUGGUGUGUCUCCUGGUCUUCAAAACCAGUGUGGGGCAUGGAUUGUCCCGGGUGGGUUCGAUUCCCACAUGUUCC